AUUAAACGCUGGCGGCAUGCCUUACACAUGCAAGUCGAACGGCAGCACGGGGGCAACCCUGGUGGCGAGUGGCGGACGGGUGAGUAAAGCAUCGGAACGUAUCCCGGAGUGGGGGAUAACGUAGCGAAAGUUACGCUAAUACCGCAUAUUCUGUGAGCAGGAAAGCAGGGGAUCGCAAGACCUUGCGCUCUGGGAGCGGCCGAUGUCGGAUUAGCUAGUUGGUGGGGUAAAGGCCUACCAAGGCGACGAUCCGUAGCGGGUCUGAGAGGAUGAUCCGCCACACUGGGACUGAGACACGGCCCAGACUCCUACGGGAGGCAGCAGUGGGGAAUUUUGGACAAUGGGCGGAAGCCUGAUCCAGCCAUGCCGCGUGAGUGAAGAAGGCCU
rnacentral:rRNA from 1 species